AUUGAACGCUGGCGGCAUGCCUUACACAUGCCAGUCGAACGGUAACAGGUCUUCGGAUGCUGACGAGUGGCGAACGGGUGAGUAAUACAUCGGAACGUGCCCGAUCGUGGGGGAUAACGAGGCGAAAGCUUUGCUAAUACCGCAUACGAUCUACGGAUGAAAGCGGGGGAUCUUCGGACCUCGCGCGGACGGAGCGGCCGAUGGCAGAUUAGGUAGUUGGUGGGAUAAAAGCUUACCAAGCCGACGAUCUGUAGCUGGUCUGAGAGGAUGAUCAGCCACACUGGGACUGAGACACGGCCCAGACUCCUACGGGAGGCAGCAGUGGGGAAUUUUGGACAAUGGGCGAAAGCCUGAUCCAGCCAUGCCGCGUGCAGGAUGAAGGCCUUGGGGUUGUAAACUGCUUUUGUACGGAACGAAAAGCCUCUUUCUAAUAAAGAGGGGUCAUGACGGUACCGUAAGAAUAAGCACCGGCUAACUACGUG
rnacentral:rRNA from 1 species